GGAGGCCCUUUAAUUCUUUUUCAAAGUGGUAAAAUGAUUCUCAUUAAGAUGGAGCAAGAACCCAAAAAUAUUUUUAAAAAUACGUAGAAUAUUUCAAGGUUUCUACAAGGAUUUGCAGAAAAUCGGUCAAAGAAUUGUGCAGUAAGACACUGACAAAACCUGAGCUUUUGCCACUGUGUGGUGUAUUGAUAAUUAUUACUUCAUCUGUUUUCCUUUGGUAGGGUUAGUUUUCAAAACAAACAAAAAUAACUUUGAGUCCACUAAAGACUUAAAAACUAAACGGCAAUAGCAGCAAUGGCCACAAUUCCAAAUUAAAGAGUAGAUUUAAUAUGCCAUGAAAAAAAGAACUAUUGUUGAUAAACAGAAGAAGGUAUGAUUGUUCUCAGUGACAUCAUCUUUGAAUAAAUAGGGCAGCACUAAAUGGGGUAGCCUCGUUGUGCAGCACGCUUGGACUGUGAGCGCAGGCAGAGAAGAAAGGGGUCAGGGGACAGUGAGGAGAGGUCAGGGAAACCUGAGCCACAGGCGGGGCAGCUCAGAGAGUAUGUACUGCGGGGGAGGCUGGAGGGCAGUGCAGGCCCCAGACCUGUAGCCUCUUCUGUGUGUCCGUAGGUGUGAAGGAGGAAGAAAAAAAGAGGUGAGAAGGUAUAUCCCAGGAGGUUGCUGAUUGUGUUGUCUUUACAAUUAAAGAUCUGGAUAGAUUUGCAAAAAAUUCUAACUGGACUUUACUGCUUGUACUUGGGCAGCUGAUAAGACGUUCAUAUGGUUAGUUGACACAUUUUCCUUUUUGCCUUUUCCCAUUUGUCCUCUCCCGUGUUCUCCAACUUUGGACACAGAUAGUCCUGGAAGCUUCUUCCAGUGGCCCCUUCCAUUCCCAGCUCUCCACACCUUCCAGAUUCAUUGUUGUCCUCCAUGCCCCUCUGUCUCCAGAAUGGCCUGGAUUACCUGUCACUGGGCUUCCACAGCAUGUUGUGGCUCGGAGCAUCUGGAGAUUUUACCAUCUGGACUUUCUGUGCCUCACUGCUCUAAGCUUGAACCUGCCAGUUUAUGGGAGAUGGUUGAGAACAGCGCUCGAACAUCUGAGUUGCAAAAAUCUCUGCCUCUAAGAACUCAGGAAGGACGGACUUCGUGGGAGCGAAGGUGAUGAGUCAGACCCACGAGCUUGGGAAUGACGGAUCGGUUGAGCCUUCAUUCGGCCAGGAGUUUCCUAGGCAACCGUGUGUGCAGUAAUUAAAGGAUGAGGAACCAAGAGGAGAGAAAUGGCAGAAACAGAGGCACUUCUAAUGGAACAGAAUAAACUACUGAACAGAGGCGCGCAGGGUGGAGCUGGACACACAAAACCAACGCAAGAUCUUACUCAGAGGAUGCAUUGCUGGUGAGUCCCUGCUGGUAGCUGUAGACUCCUGAGUUUGUGUAUUCAUGUUCUUCUGAAGAAGUGAUUUUUUGCUGAGACAUCUGUGGCAAAGAAAACCUUGUGAAAGUUCUUGUUGCAGAGUCUGGAAUAUAGCAAGUAGUUAUUAGAUGCGAGUGUCCUUUUGUCUUCACUUUCCUCCUCUUGUUUCUAGUAGCAUAUGUGUUUGGUUUUUCUGGUUGUAACAUCUUUUAACAUCUGUUUGCGUUCAACCUGGAGGACUGCGUUUUUCAGGUCCUGUGGCUUGAGCUCUCCUCUCAGUGGAGAGGUGGAUGGGGAGGGAG